AGAGUUUGAUCAUGGCUCAGAUUGAACGCUGGCGGCAGGCCUAACACAUGCAAGUCGAGCGAGAAAGCACUUCGGUGCGAGUAGAGCGGCGGAAGCGGCGGACGGGUGAGUAACGCGUAGGAAUUUGCCCAGUAGUGGGGGACAACUUAGGGAAACUUAAGCUAAUACCGCAUACGCCCUAAGGGGGAAAGCAGGGGAUCUUCGGACCUUGCGCUAUUGGAUGAGCCUGCGUCGGAUUAGCUAGUUGGUGAGGUAAUGGCUCACCAAGGCGACGAUCUGUAGCUGGUCUGAGAGGACGACCAGCCACACUGGGACUGAGACACGGCCCAGACUCCUACGGGAGGCAGCAGUGGGGAAUAUUGCACAAUGGGCGAAAGCCUGAUGCAGCAAUGCCGCGUGUGUGAAGAAGGCCUGAGGGUUGUAAAGCACUUUCAGUUGGGAGGAAAAGUUAUAGUUUAAUACGCUAUAGCCGUGACGUUACCAACAGAAGAAGCACCGGCUAACUCCGUGCCAGCAGCCGCGGUAAUACGGAGGGUGCAAGCGUUAAUCGGAAUUACUGGGCGUAAAGCGCGCGUAGGUGGUUUGUUAAGCGAGAUGUGAAAGCCCCGGGCUUAACCUGGGAACUGCAUUUCGAACUGGCAGACUAGAGUAUGGUAGAGGAGAGUGGAAUUUCAGGUGUAGCGGUGAAAUGCGUAGAGAUCUGAAGGAACACCAGUGGCGAAGGCGGCCUCCUGGCCUAAUAUUGACGCUGAGGUGCGAAAGCGUGGUGAGCAAACAGGAUUAGAUACCCUGGUAGUCCACGCCGUAAACGAUGUCUACUAGUCGUCGGGAUCCUUGAGGUCUUGGUGACGAAGCUAACGCGAUAAGUAGACCGCCUGGGGAGUACGGCCGCAAGGUUAAAACUCAAAUGAAUUGACGGGGGCCCGCACAAGCGGUGGAGCAUGUGGUUUAAUUCGAUGCAACGCGAAAAACCUUACCUACUCUUGACAUCCCGUGAACUUUCCAGAGAUGGAUUGGUGCCUUCGGGAACACGGUGACAGGUGCUGCAUGGCUGUCGUCAGCUAGUGUCGUGACAUGUUGGGGUAAGUCCCGUAACUAGCGCAACCCUUGUCCUUAGUUGCCAGCAUUAAGUUGGGCACUCUAAGGAGACUGCCGGUGACAAACCGGAGGAAGGUGGGGACGACGUCAAGUCAUCAUGGCCCUUAUGGGCAGGGCUACACACGUGCUACAAUGGGCGGUACAGAGGGUCGCUAACCCGCGAGGGGGUGCUAAUCUCACAAAACCGUUCGUAGUCCGGAUCGGAGUCUGCAACUCGACUCCGUGAAGUCGGAAUCGCUAGUAAUCGUGAAUCAGAAUGUCACGGUGAAUACGUUCCCGGGCCUUGUACACACCGCCCGUCACACCAUGGGAGUUGGCUGUACCAGAAGCCGGUAGUCUAACCUUAGGGAGGGCGCCGUCCACGGUAUGGUCAAUGACUGGGGUGAAGUCGGAACAAGGUAACCA
rnacentral:rRNA from 1 species